rnacentral:tRNA from 1 species
AUCUUUUGAGUAUGUUGCAAGUACACUUGCCUUCCAAGCAAGAGGAUUAAAUAAAUUUAAAAAAGAUA